AUGGGUGGCAAAGGCAUGAAGGCCAGCCCCUACCAGGAAUUAGCUCAGGCAGGUGGUGUGAGGACACCCAUCUCACUUGUGUCCCGUAUUCCAGAGUCCCCGAAGAAACCCGAUGUCUACCCCCUGAGCCUCCCUAAAGCCGCAUUAGGAUCCGAGUCAGUGACCAUCGGCUGCCUGAUUCAGAAUUACUUCCCCUCGGAACCUGUGAGCGUGACCUGGAGCAAGAGUGGCGCCACCAUAAACUACCCACCUGCCCAGGCCGAGAGCCUCUACACCAUGAGCAGCCAGCUGACCCUGCCCGCUGCUGAGUGCCCAGAGAAUACAUCCGUGACGUGCUCUGUGCAGCACUACACUAACCCCGUCCAGACAAUGGAUGUGCCCUGCCUUGUUCCAGAUCCAGUUCCACCUCCUAUUUGCCCGAACUGCAACCUCCGACUGUCGCUGCAACGGCCAAACCUUGAGGACCUGCUUAUGGGCUCGGAUGCCAGCCUCACAUGCACACUGAGUGGCCUGAGAAACCCUGAGGGAGCCACCUUCACCUGGGAGCCCAGCACCGGGAAGAAUGCCGUGCUGAAGGCACCAGUGCAGGACUCCCAAGGCUGGUACAGUGUGUCCAGCGUCCUGCCUGGCUGUGCUGAGCCCUGGAACAGUGGGACGACCUUCAAAUGCACAGUCCGCCACCCUGAGUCCAAGGAGCCGCUAACUGAAAGCAUCGCCAAAGAAAGAGAAAACAAAUUCCCACCCCAGGUCCAUCUGCUACCGCCGCCGUCGGAGGAGCUGGGCCUGAACGAGCUGGUGUCCCUGACCUGUCUGGUGCGAGGAUUCAGCCCUAAAGAUGUGCUAGUACGCUGGCUGCAAGGAAACCAGGAACUUCCCAAGGAAAACUACCUCGUGUUCGAACCCAUGAAAGAGUCAAGCGAGGGUCCCACCACCUACGCGGUGACCAGUGUGCUGCGUGUUUCCGCUGAAUCCUGGAAACAGGGUGACAACUUCUCCUGCAUGGUGGGCCACGAGGCCCUGCCCCUGGCCUUUACCCAGAAGACCAUCGACCGCCAGUCGGGUAAACCCACCCACGUCAACGUGUCUGUAGUCAUGUCAGAGGCAGAUGGCGUCUGCUACUGAGCUGCCUCACCUGCCCCAUCCCCUAAUAAACUCUGUGCUUAUCCAAA